AAGAGAGAGUCAAAAGACCGUGAAACCGCUCAGAGUAUAAGCCAAUGGAGCUUGGAAGGCUUCCACAGGUGCGUUACGCCUUUUCAGGUUGUUCGCAGAUGUAGAGUCUCGCUCGUUAGCCGAAGCAUUUGAGUAUGCCGUCCAAGUGUCAUUCACUGGAGUCAGCUUGGGGGUCGUCCGGUUUCGGCCGGCGUUCUCCCUUCUGUCCCCUUUUGAAUGGACGUUCAGAGCUCUUCGUCUAUUGUGGUUACGCCCACCACAGCACGUUGUGAGGUCACCCACAGGCUCAAACUGCCGAUCGCGCAUCCAGGACGAUGGCAACGAUGCGUAGUGCAUGCUUGAAGCGAGUCUUCACUCACACGCGUGUCUAGUCCUGGGUCGGGCGGCGACCGAGAUAAACCUGGUACGAUCCUCUUGCGACGAGCUGCUUUCUGGCCAGACCGACGUCCAGGCGUUUCCACUGUGCCGGAAGCGUCCAUCCCAGGCGGUGUGAACCAAGGUGCAUGGUGCAUGGUCUCUCAGCCGGGCGUUGGUCUGAGUGGUGUUAAGUCCAGCACCAUCGGUCACGUCUCGAAACACGGGCCAAGGAGUAUAGCAUGUGUGCAAGUCUAAGGGUCUCACAAAACCCGAAGGCGAAGUGAAAGCAAGACUGUGGCGGGGGAGCUACGGCGAACCCGCCGGCCUGGUGUCGCAAUUUUAUUGCGUCGCCGGCUUUAACAGAGCUGAUCCUGAUUCUCGGUUUAUUCUUGGUGCAGGCGCAAGCUCCGGGCUCACGUACAACACUGGUCACUUGUGGCUGUGUUGUGAGCACCGUGGAGCAUGC
rnacentral:rRNA from 1 species